rnacentral:rRNA from 1 species
UCCCAGACUCCUACGGGAGGCAGCAGUGGGGAAUAUUGCACAAUGGGGGAAACCCUGAUGCAGCGACGCCGCGUGAGUGAAGAAGUACUUCGUUAUGUAAAGCUCUAUCAGCAGGGAAGAAAAUGACGGUACCUGAGUAAGAAGCCCCGGCUAAAUACGUGCCAGCAGCCGCGGUAAUACGUAUGGAGCAAGCGUUAUCCGGAUUUACUGGGCGUAAAGGGAGCGUAGGCGGCCUGCCAAGUCUGAUGUGAAGUACCGGGGCUCAACCCCGGGGCUGCAUUGGAAACUGGCAGGCUGGAGUGCCGGAGAGGCAGGCGGAAUUCCUAGUGUAGCGGUGAAAUGCGUAGAUAUUAGGAGGAACACCAGUGGCGAAGGCGGCCUGCUGGACGGUGACUGACGCUGAGGCUCGAAAGCGUGGGGAGCGAACAGGAUUAGAUACCCCAGUA